rnacentral:rRNA from 1 species
CCCAUUAGCUUGUUGGUAAGGUAACGGCUUACCAAGGCAACGAUGGGUAGGGGUCCUGAGAGGGAGAUCCCCCACACUGGUACUGAGACACGGACCAGACUCCUACGGGAGGCAGCAGUGAGGAAUAUUGGACAAUGGGCGCAAGCCUGAUCCAGCCAUGCCGCGUGCAGGAUGACGGUCCUAUGGAUUGUAAACUGCUUUUGCACAGGAAGAAACACUCGGACGUGUCCGAGCUUGACGGUACUGUGAGAAUAAGGAUCGGCUAACUCCGUGCCAGCAGCCGCGGUAAUACGGAGGAUCCAAGCGUUAUCCGGAAUCAUUGGGUUUAAAGGGUCCGUAGGCGGUUUGGUAAGUCAGUGGUGAAAGCCCAUCGCUCAACGGUGGAACGGCCAUUGAUACUGCUAGACUUGAAUUAUUAGGAAGUAACUAGAAUAUGUAGUGUAG